UCAGAAUAGGAGGAAGGUGGAGUUAAAUCCACUCCAAUUAAUAAAAAUUUUGAGAUCUCAGGGUAGGUGGUAAAUAGAGUGAAUGUGAAAGAAGAAAACGGGGUGGCGAUGGAGAAAGAAGAAGAGGAAGGAGAUGAGAGGUUAGGUCAAGAUGGGAGUAAAGAGAGUAUUGAGUACCAAGAGGUCACCUUUCUGGGGGAGAGGGAUGAGGCAACACGGUAGUGGGAUAGUCACAUGUGAGUAUAGCGGGCGCGGUUUGUGAGGCGUUAGAAAAUAGGUAGAGAAUUUUAUU
rnacentral:lncRNA from 1 species